GUUAGGAAUAUUGGACAAUGGGCGCAAGCCUGAUCCAGCCAUGCCGCGUGAGUGAUGAAGGCCUUCGGGUUGUAAAGCUCUUUAGCCGAUGAUUAUAAUGACUGUAGUCGGAAAAUAAGCCCCGGCUAACUUCGUGCCAGCAGCCGCGGUAAUACGAAGGGGGCGAGCGUUAUUCGGAAUCACUGGGCGUAAAGCGUGCGUAGGCGGCUUUGCAAGUUGGGAGUGAAAGCCCAGGGCUCAACCCUGGAAUUGCUCUCAAAACUGCAAGGCUCGAAUUCGGGAGAGGAUAGCGGAAUUGUCAGUGUAGCAGUGAAAUGCGUAGAUAUUGACAGGAUCACCAGUGGCGUAAGCGGCUAUCUGGACCGAUAUUGACGCUGAGGCACGAAAGCGUGGGGAUCAAACAGGAUUAGAUACCCGAGUAGUCCC
rnacentral:rRNA from 1 species